rnacentral:tRNA from 3 species
GCCCGGGUGGCGGAAUGGUAGACGCAGCGGAUUCAAAAUCCGCCGAUGGCAACAUCGUGGGGGUUCGAUACCCUUCCCGGGCACCA